rnacentral:rRNA from 1 species
AACGAACGCUGGCGGCAGGCUUAACACAUGCAAGUCGAACGCCCCGCAAGGGGAGUGGCAGACGGUGAGUAACGCGUGGGAACAUACCCUUUUCUACGGAAUAGCUCUGGGAAACUGGAAUUAAUACCGUAUACGCCCUACGGGGGAAAGAUUUAUCGGGGAAGGAUUGGCCGCGUUGGAUUAGCUAGUUGGUGGGGUAAAGGCCUACCAAGGCGACGAUCCAUAGCUGGUCUGAGAGGAUGAUCAGCCACAUUGGGACUGAGACACGGCCCAAACUCCUACGGGGGGCAGCAGUGGGGAAUAUUGGACAAUGGGCGCAAGCCUGAUCCAGCCAUGCCGCGUGAGUGAUGAAGGCCUUAGGGUUGUAAAGCUCUUUCACCGAUGAAGAUAAUGACGGUAGUCGGAGAAGAAGCCCCGGCUAACUUCGUGCCAGCAGCCGCCGUAAGAC